AACGAACGCUGGCGGCAUGCCUAACACAUGCAAGUCGAACGAGACCUUCGGGUCUAGUGGCGCACGUGUGCGUAACGCGUGGGAACCUGCCUUUAGGUUCGGAAUAACUCAGAGAAAUUUGAGCUAAUACCGGAUGAUGUCUUCGGACCAAAGAUUUAUCGCCUUUAGAUGGGCCCGCGUUGGAUUAGCUAGUUGGUGGGGUAAAGGCCUACCAAGGCGACGAUCCAUAGCUGGUCUGAGAGGAUGAUCAGCCACACUGGGACUGAGACACGGCCCAGACUCCUACGGGAGGCAGAAGUGGGGAAUAUUGGACAAUGGGCGAAAGCCUGAUCCAGCAAUGCCGCGUGAGUGAUGAAGGCCUUAGGGUUGUAAAGCUCUUUUACCCGAGAUGAUAAUGACAGUAUCGGGAGAAGAAGCUCCGGCUAACUCCGUG
rnacentral:rRNA from 1 species